rnacentral:rRNA from 1 species
AUGUAUCCAGUUUGUAUGGGUGUUUUUGAUUCUGAAACAAAUGAGAAUUGGAUCUGGUUCAUGCAAAUGGUUAGACAAGCCAUAGGAUCCCCAAGGGGUUUAACCAUAUGCACCGAUGCUGGGCAACCAGUGAUGACAUGUGUAAAAGAAGUGUUCCCAGAGGCUGAACAUAGGGAAUGUAUGUUUCACUUGGUGUCCAACUUCAAGAAGAAGUUUCAUGGAAAGGUGUUUGAUGACCACCUUUGGGUUGCUGUUUACUCAUGGAACCCAUAUAUAUUUGAAAAAAAUUGGGUUGCAAUGGACAUAGCAAAGCCAGCGGCAACUGCAUAA